rnacentral:rRNA from 1 species
UGGGGCACUCGUAAGGAGACUGCCGGUGACAAACCGGAGGAAGGUGGGGAUGACGUCAAGUCAUCAUGGCCCUUACGGCCUGGGCUACACACGUGCUACGAAUGGUCGGUACAAAGGGUUGCCAAGCCGCGAGGUGGAGCUAAUCCCAUAAACCGAUCGUAGUCCGGAUCGCAGUCUGCAACUCGACUGCGUGAAGUCGGAAUCGCUAGUAAUCGUGAAUCAGAAUGUCACGGUGAAUACGUUCCCGGGCCUU